UAUCUCUGUAGAGUCUGCAUAUCAAUAAGCGGAGGAAAAGAAACUAACAAGGAUUCCCCUAGUAACGGCGAGUGAAGCGGGAAGAGCUCAAAUUUGAAAUCUUCAAGGUUUGACCUUGACGAAUUGUAGUUUAAAGAAGUGUUUUCUGUUAGAUGAGUAGCAAAAGUUCCUUGGAAUGGGACAUCAUAGAGGGUGAGAAUCCCGUAUUUGGUUAUUCAUUCUAGCUUUGUGAUACACUUUCAAAGAGUCGGAUUGUUUGGGAAUGCAGUCCAAAAUGGGUGGUAAAUUUCAUCUAAAGCUAAAUAUUGGCGAGAGACCGAUAGCGAACAAGUACCGUGAGGGAAAGAUGAAAAGAACUUUGAAAAGAGAGUUAAACAGUACGUGAAAUUGUCAAAAGGGAAGCGUUUGACACCAGUGUUGUUUUUCCGAAAAUCAAUUACGAAUGGCUUGAUUUUGUGUUGUAUUGACCUUAUCAGCUUUCUUCACUUUUUUCGAGUCUUUCUUAAUGCACUUUUCGGUUAACAAGUCAACAUCAAUUUCUUUUGUUGUAAAAGAGUAUUCGGAAGGUGGCUUUCUUUUCGGAGAAAGUGUAUAUAGCCCUAUACUUCUACAAUCGGAGAGAUUGAGGUCUGCAGCGUAGAUCCUUCGGGGUUAGAUACACUUGUGCUAAGUUGUAGCUUUUCAUAGACAACUUGUUGACUAUGUUUAGUCAUGCGGCUUACUCGCUUGUGCUAUUUUACCUACGCUUAGGAUGUUGACUGAUAUGUAGUCGUA
rnacentral:rRNA from 1 species